rnacentral:rRNA from 2 species
AAAUUGAAGAGUUUGAUCAUGGCUCAGAUUGAACGCUGGCGGCAGGCCUAACACAUGCAAGUCGAACGGUAGCACAGAGAGCUUGCUCUCGGGUGACGAGUGGCGGACGGGUGAGUAAUGUCUGGGAAACUGCCCGAUGGAGGGGGGUAACUACUGGAAACGGUAGCUAAUACCGCAUAACGUCGCAAGACCAAAGUGGGGGACCUUCGGGCCUCACACCAUCGGAUGUGCCCAGAUGGGAUUAGCUAGUAGGUGGGGUAACGGCUCACCUAGGCGACGAUCCCUAGCUGGUCUGAGAGGAUGACCAGCCACACUGGAACUGAGACACGGUCCAGACUCCUACGGGAGGCAGCAGUGGGGAAUAUUGCACAAUGGGCGCAAGCCUGAUGCAGCCAUGCCGCGUGUAUGAAGAAGGCCUUCGGGUUGUAAAGUACUUUCAGCGAGGAGGAAGGCGUUGUGGUUAAUAACCACAGCGAUUGACGUUACUCGCAGAAGAAGCACCGGCUAACUCCGUGCCAGCAGCCGCGGUAAUACGGAGGGUGCAAGCGUUAAUCGGAAUUACUGGGCGUAAAGCGCACGCAGGCGGUUUGUUAAGUCAGAUGUGAAAUCCCCGGGCUCAACCUGGGAACUGCAUUUGAAACUGGCAAGCUUGAGUCUCGUAGAGGGGGGUAGAAUUCCAGGUGUAGCGGUGAAAUGCGUAGAGAUCUGGAGGAAUACCGGUGGCGAAGGCGGCCCCCUGGACAAAGACUGACGCUCAGGUGCGAAAGCGUGGGGAGCAAACAGGAUUAGAUACCCUGGUAGUCCACGCCGUAAACGAUGUCUACUUGGAGGUUGUGCCCUUGAGGCGUGGCUUCCGGAGCUAACGCGUUAAGUAGACCGCCUGGGGAGUACGGCCGCAAGGUUAAAACUCAAAUGAAUUGACGGGGGCCCGCACAAGCGGUGGAGCAUGUGGUUUAAUUCGAUGCAACGCGAAGAACCUUACCUGGUCUUGACAUCCACGGAAGUUUUCAGAGAUGAGAAUGUGCCUUCGGGAAC